GAUGAACGCUGGCGGCGUGCCUAAUACAUGCAAGUCGAGCGAACGGACGAGAAGCUUGCUUUUCUGAUGUUAGCGGCGGACGGGUGAGUAACACGUGGAUAACCUACCUAUAAGACUGGGAUAACUUCGGGAAACCGGAGCUAAUACCGGAUAAUAUUUUGAACCGCAUGGUUCAAAAGUGAAAGACGGUCUUGCUGUCACUUAUAGAUGGAUCCGCGCUGCAUUAGCUAGUUGGUAAGGUAACGGCUUACCAAGGCAACGAUGCAUAGCCGACCUGAGAGGGUGAUCGGCCACACUGGAACUGAGACACGGUCCAGACCCCUACGGGAGGCAGCAGCAGGGAAUCUUCCGCAAUGGGCGAAAGCCUGACGGAGCAACGCCGCGUGAGUGAUGAAGGUCUUCGGAUCGUAAAACUCUGUUAUUAGGGAAGAACACAUGUGUAAGUAACUGUGCACAUCUUGACGGUACCUAAUCAGAAAGCCACGGCUAACUACGUG
rnacentral:rRNA from 1 species